rnacentral:lncRNA from 1 species
CGUCCACCGGCCUCCUCUCCACCCGCUGGCGCUCGCUCUGGCGCUCCACCGGAGCCGUCAACCUCGCCGUCCGGCCUCAUCCACCGGGGCAACGACGACUUCUCCCUCCACGACGCGUUUGUCUGCUCCGCCCACGCCGCGCUCGCCGACGUGUUCCUGCACCGCGACCCGCAGGAUUGGGAGAGGAAGCACGAUGUGGUCGCUGGUGUCGUCUCCCACCCAGUGGCGCGCCGCGUCGAGGAGCUCCGUGUCGCCGCCGUCAAGUCCGCCGACGAGCCGUCGUCCGACAAGGAGGUCGCGGAGAUGGAAGGGGAGUUCCACCUCUCCCUCCGCAGCAACACACAGCCGUCGGAGACGCUCCACGUGCUCGAUGUCACCGGGUACGGCAGCUUCUCCCUCUCCGCCGGCGGCGCUCCCGCGGCUGACGACGCUGCGGCUGCGGCUGUCAAGGACCUGCAGGGCGUCGUCGACUCCGCGCCGGCGCUCGCCACCGUGCACCUCGAGUCCGUCUUCCUCGCCGGGGCGAAAGAAGAUGGCUGCGCCCGCGCCCGCCCGGGCAGUGCACCACGUCGGCGUGCGUCGGGAGAUAGAGGAAAAGAAAAGAAGAGAAAGAGAGGAACUCGUGUGCUGGGAUGCCGCCGUGCGUCGUCGCUGUCGGAGUGAACCCCGGCGA